rnacentral:rRNA from 1 species
CGUAAGGCGAAGCUUUGAACUUAAGCCCCAGUAAACGGCGGCCGUAACUAUAACGGUCCUAAGGUAGCGAAAUUCCUUGUCGGGUAAGUUCCGACCCGCACGAAAGGCGUAAUGAUUUGGGCACUGUCUCAACAAUGCACCCGGUGAAAUUGAAAUACCAGUGAAGAUGCUGGUUACCUGCGCCAGGACGGAAAGACCCCAUGGAGCUUUACUCCAGCUUGAUACUGGGAUUCGAUAUUGCAUGUACAGGAUAGGUGGGAGACUUUGAACUGAUGACGCCAGUUGUCAGGGAGUCACUGUUGGGAUACCACCCUUGUAGUAUUGGAUUUCUAACCAGCAGCCGUGAACCGGCUGGGGGACAAUGUCAGGUGGGGAGUUUGACUGGGGCGGUCGCCUCCGAAAGGGUAUCGGAGGCGCUCAAAGGUUCCCUCAGAAUGGUUGGAAACCAUUCGAAGAGUGCAAAGGCAGAAGGGAGCUUGACUGCGACACCGACGGGUGGAGCAGGUACGAAAGUAGGACUUAGUGAUCCGGUGGUAUAAAGUGGGAUUGCCAUCGCUCAACGGAUAAAAGCUACCCUGGGGAUAACAGGCUUAUCACUCCCAAGAGUUCACAUCGACGGAGUGGUUUGGCACCUCGAUGUCGGCUCAUCGCAUCCUGGGGCUGAAGUAGGUCCCAAGGGUUGGGCUGUUCGCCCAUUAAAGCGGUACGCGAGCUGGGUUCAGAACGUCGUGAGACAGUUCGGUCCCUAUCCGGCGUGGGCGUAGGAUAUUUGAGAGGAGCUGCCCUUAGUACGAGAGGACCGGGGUGGACUGGCCGCUGGUGGAUCUGUUGUAUUACCAAAUGCAUGGCAGAGUAGCCAAGCCGGGACGGGAUAAACGCUGAAGGCAUCUAAGCGUGAAGCCCCCCUCAAGAUGAGAUAUCCCAUAACGUCAAGUUAGUAAGACCCCUUGAAGACGACGAGGUAGAUAGGGCAGAGGUGGAAGUGUGGUAACACAUGGAGCUGACUGUUACUAAUAGGUCGA